UUUACCGUUGGGUUUGCUCUAAGA
rnacentral:siRNA from 1 species